UCCCAGGGAUUCUCAGUAGAUU
rnacentral:miRNA from 1 species